CAGGCGGUAUCAAGAGGCUGA
rnacentral:miRNA from 1 species